rnacentral:rRNA from 1 species
GAGUUUGAUCCUGGCUCAGAUUGAACGCUGGCGGGAUGCUUUACACAUGCAAGUCGGACGGCAGCACGGGGCUUCGGCCUGGUGGCGAGUGGCGAACGGGUGAGUAAUGUAUCGGAACGUGCCCGGUAGCGGGGAUAACUACGCGAAAGCGUGGCUAAUACCGCAUACGCCCUACGGGGGAAAGCGGGGACCUUCGGCCUCGCACUAUUGGAGCGGCCGAUAUCGGAUUAGCUAGUUGGUGGGGUAACGGCCUACCAAGGCGACGAUCCGUAGCUGGUUUGAGAGGACGACCAGUCACACUGGGACUGAGACACGGCCCAGACUCCUACGGGAGGCAGCAGUGGGGAAUUUUGGACAAUGGGGCAACCCUGAUCCAGCCAUCCCGCGUGUGCGAUGAAGGCCUUCGGGUUGUAAAGCACUUUUGGCAGGAAAGAAACGGCACGGGCUAAUAUCCUGUGCAACUGACGGUACCUGCAGAAUAAGCACCGGCUAACUACGUGCCAGCAGCCGCGGUAAUACGUAGGGUGCAAGCGUUAAUCGGAAUUACUGGGCGUAAAGCGUGCGCAGGCGGUUCGGAAAGAAAGAUGUGAAAUCCCAGGGCUUAACCUUGGAACUGCAUUUUUAACUACCGAGCUAGAGUGUGUCAGAGGGAGGUGGAAUUCCGCGUGUAGCAGUGAAAUGCGUAGAUAUGCGGAGGAACACCGAUGGCGAAGGCAGCCUCCUGGGAUAACACUGACGCUCAUGCACGAAAGUGUGGGGAGCAAACAGGAUUAGAUACCCUGGUAGUCCACGCCCUAAACGAUGUCAACUAGCUGUUGGGGCCUUCGGGCCUUGGUAGCGCAGCUAACGCGUGAAGUUGACCGCCUGGGGAGUACGGUCGCAAGAUUAAAACUCAAAGGAAUUGACGGGGACCCGCACAAGCGGUGGAUGAUGUGGAUUAAUUCGAUGCAACGCGAAAAACCUUACCUACCCUUGACAUGUCUGGAAUCCCGAAGAGAUUUGGGAGUGCUCGCAAGAGAACCGGAACACAGGUGCUGCAUGGCUGUCGUCAGCUCGUGUCGUGAGAUGUUGGGUUAAGUCCCGCAACGAGCGCAACCCUUGUCAUUAGUUGCUACGAAAGGGCACUCUAAUGAGACUGCCGGUGACAAACCGGAGGAAGGUGGGAUGACGUCAAGUCCUCAUGGCCCUUAUGGGUAGGGCUUCACACGUCAUACAAUGGUCGGGACAGAGGGUUGCCAACCCGCGAGGGGGAGCCAAUCCCAGAAACCCGGUCGUAGUCCGGAUCGCAGUCUGCAACUCGACUGCGUGAAGUCGGAAUCGCUAGUAAUCGCGGAUCAGCAUGUCGCGGUGAAUACGUUCCCGGGUCUUGUACACACCGCCCGUCACACCAUGGGAGUGGGUUUUACCAGAAGUAGUUAGCCUAACCGCAAGGGGGCGAUUACCACGGUAGGAUUCAUGACUGGGGUGAAGUCGUAACAAGGUAGCCGUAUCGGAAGGUGCGGCUGGAUCACC